CGAUUUUUAAUAUGUACCGCUUAGACUAAUACGCCAUUAUCUAUAUUGCCUAAAUGAUAAAGCCCUGCACUUCAACCUUAGAUCUUCGAAGAGUAUUAUUUAGAUCACUUUUUAUUUCAUAUUUAUUACGAAUUGUUUUUUGACCCGAUUGCAACCUUGGCCGCAUAAUUUGUUACUAAGCGAAAGCAUUUUGUUUAUAUAAUUAACAACUUUUGUUGAUGUAUUGCUCCAUAUGGAAAUUAUUUAUUAUAUAAAGCAGGCAAUUUUUGGGAGAUUUUGAUCGCCAUUAUAAAUACCGAAAAUAUUGUAAUUGAAGGAAACUGAACGCUUACAGAUGAUUGCAAUGAGAGCCGUUUUGUGUCUAUUAGUUUGUUUGGUUUUAGUAGCGGCCACACCAGCUACACUUCAUAAUAACAACGAUGAAAAGACAUACCUGCGUAACUGCUACGGCUUUGAAUGCCCAAAGGGUACAGUGACCUGCAGCGUAGACAGCGUAGCGACAGAUGACUGGAUGACAGACACAAUACGCUGCAAGAGUAAAAAUCAUGCAGUCCUCAACUCGUUCACCAAAACCUACCCACUUCCGAAUUGUGAUGAUAGAACGACUACGAAUUGUAGAAUAGUAAAAUAAAGCAAUGACAGCUUU